GGAGGGAGUUGCGUAACGGAAGCGCGCCGCAGAGUACCUGCGGGUGCCGGAAGCGCACCGCUUGCGUAGCGGACGUGUGGGUUCGAGUCCCGUCUCUCUCCU
rnacentral:tRNA from 1 species